rnacentral:tRNA from 1 species
GGGGGUAUAGCUCAGUGGUAUGGUGUGUGCUUAGCAUGCUCGAGGUCCUGGGUUCAAUCCCCAGAACCUCCA